AUGUCACCAAGUAUCAUACUACUCUUCUCCUCCAUCAUCAUCAUCCUCCUCUCACCAUCCUCAUGCCUGAAGCAACAUCCCCUAGACUCUCUAACCCCAUCCGAGUUCACCCAGAUCAAAACCAUACUCGAAAAAACAUACCCAGCUCAGAACAUAAGCUUCCAAUACGUUGGCCUAGAUGAACCCGAAAAAUCCACCGUCAUCUCAUGGAGUUCCAAAUCCAACACCAAAUCCCUCCCUCCACGCCGGGCCUUGGUAGUUACACGAAUUAACAGACAGACUCAUGAGUCUAUAGUCGAUUUGUCAACCCGUUCCCUGGUCUCUGACGUUAAAAUCGACGAUAAGCAUGGCUACCCUUUGCUAAACAAUGAAGAGCAAACAGCCGUUUACGAAUUGCCAUUUACAUACAAACCCUUUCUCAAAUCGAUAAAAAUUAGAGGGCUUAAUAUAUCCCAAGUUGUUUGUACCACUUUUUCAGUUGGUUGGUUUGGAGAGAACAAGAGUAGACUGUCGAACCUGAACUGUUUUUAUACGAAUGGAACAGUGAACUUGUACGUGACGCCAGUGGAAGGUAUUACAGUGGUGGUUGAUCUUGAGGAGGUGAAAAUAGUGAAGUAUAGUGAUAAUCUUGUGGUACCAAUGCCGAAACCCGAGCGAACGGAGUACCAGGCGUCCAAGCAGAAACCGCCAUUUGGUCCGCGGCUAAAUGGUGCUACAGUGCUGCAGUCCGGCGGAGAAGGGUUCAAGAUGGACGGAAACAUUGUCAAAUGGGCCAACUGGGUAUUCCAUCUGGGGUUUGAUGUUCGAACUGGCGUUGUUAUAUCUCUGACAUCAAUCUAUGACCUUGACAAGCACAAAUACAGAAGGGUGUUGUACAGGGGUUUUGUAUCAGAGCUCUUUGUGCCAUACAUGGACCCAACUGAGGACUGGUACUACAAAACCUUCUUCGAAUGCGGAGAAUUCGGGUUCGGCCUCUCAACAGUGUCGCUCGAGCCGCUGACAGAUUGCCCGAGCAAUGCCAAGUUCAUAGAUGGUUACUAUGCUGCAGGAGAUGGAACUCCUGUGCAGAUAACGAAUGCCAUUUGCAUCUUCGAACGACAUGCAGGCAACAUCUUGUGGCGUCACACAGAAGUUACUAUCCCAGAUGAAGUGAUAACGGAGGCCAGGGCCGAUGUGACUCUGGUUGUGAGGAUGGUUUCUACCAUAGGCAACUAUGACUAUAUUAUUGAUUGGGAAUUCAAACCAAGUGGUUCGAUCAAAAUGGAGGUUGGACUAACAGGGGUGCUGGAAAUUGCAGCGGCUAAGUAUACCCACAUAAACCAGAUGGAGGAGGAAGUUUAUGGUACGCUGGUCGCAGAUAACUCCAUUGCAGUAAACCAUGAUCACUUCUUGACCUACCAUCUUGACCUAGAUGUGGAUGGUGAAGCUAACUCCUUUGUAAAGAACAAUUUCGUGACGAAACGAGUGACAGAUCCAAGCAUACCAAGGAAGAGUUACUGGAAUGUUGUAAGCGAAACCGCUAAGAUGGAAGAGGAUGCCCGGAUUCACCUAGGUAUGAAGCCAGCUGACCUGGUUAUUGUAAACCCUAAUAAGAAAACCAAACCUGGGAACACUAUUGGUUACCGUUUAAUUCCAGGAUCAUUUGCAAACCCCCUUCUGGUGGAGGAUGACUACCCAAAAAUUCGUGGUGCUUUCAGCAACUACAAUGUGUGGGUUACACCUUACAACAAGUCUGAAAAAUGGGCGGGAGGACCAUAUGUUGAUCAGAGCCGAGGAGACGAUACCUUAGCAGUCUGGAGCAAAAGGAAUAGGGAGAUUGAGAACAAGGACAUAUAUAGUGUUGUGGUAUACGAUUGGGUUUCACCACAAUCCUUGCCAAGAGGACUUUCCGAUGAUGCCAACAAUGAGCGGCGGAUUUGAGCUCCGGCCAACCAAUUUCUUUUAGAGCAGUCCAGUUCUUAAAGUUAGAACAACACCUCCUCCUAAGCAUGUGCCGUCGUCUAAUUGA